rnacentral:lncRNA from 1 species
AUUCACUAGCUGACAUUGUUUUUGCUAUUUUCCCCCUAAUUCUUCCAUGUUUUUCUUUCAGUUAAGAAAUUAUUGAGCAAAGAUGACUGAAAGAGUUUUAGAGAAGCUAUCGGCCUUGGACAAACGUUCAGAGAAGGUGAUGGAUAUAUGGACACAGAAAUGUUGGAUGCAAAAUGUCAGCAGGAAGAAGAGUUUGCGUAUUCCCCUGACCUUUGACUUCCACACAGGCUUUGAAAAACCCUGUCCUAAAAGCAUUCCUUCCAAACUCAAAGAAUCUUCCCAAAAGGAACAGUCAUCGGUAGAUGGUCGAAAGGUGGACAAAAAGCUUACCAGUGGUUCAAAUGUAUGGAAGCCCAAACUUCUGACUUCUGGACUUUUGCCCAGAAAGUGUCUCUUUGGGAAGGCAAAUAUGAGACCUUAUUCUGUUCCAGGCAACCUGAAAUAUCAGCUUUUAGGUAAAAACAGAUAUCUUUUUCAGAAAUUUGGAAAAAUCCCUGACACAACUGGCAUUUUACCAAGGGACGGCGUGAGAGGAAGGAAAAGAGUGAUCGCCCAAAAGGAUGCUACUUCUCUGGGGAGAAGAGGAUCGUUCAGGUACAUCCUUCCCACCCGACGUGAUUUAGAGAAUGAGACAACACAUUUGAUCCCUCUGACUGUGCAGGAUGAGCUGAGGAAGCCAAACACCAAGGUCAUCAGCCACCAUCACCCAAAACAAGAGGCUUCUUCCCCGGUAACAAAAACGAGCAUCUUCCCGGCCAUUCCCGGUCACCCUGGGGCUGAGAGGGGA